AUUGAACGCUGGCGGCAGGCCUAACACAUGCAAGUCGAGCGGCAGCGGGACCUUCGGGUUGCCGGCGAGCGGCGGACGGGUGAGUAAUGCCUAGGAAUCUGCCUGUUAGUGGGGGAUAACGCGGGGAAACUCGCGCUAAUACCGCAUACGUCCUACGGGAGAAAGCGGGGGCUCUUCGGACCUCGCGCUAACAGAUGAGCCUAGGUCGGAUUAGCUAGUUGGUGGGGUAAUGGCCCACCAAGGCGACGAUCCGUAACUGGCCUGAGAGGAUGGUCAGUCACACUGGAACUGAUACACGGUCCAGACUCCUACGGGAGGCUGCAGUGGGGAAUAUUGGACAAUUUGCGAAAGCCUGAUCCAGCCAUGCCGCGUGUGUGAAGAAGGUCUUCGGAUUGUAAAGCACUUUAAGUCGGGAGGAAGGGCUGUAGGCUAAUACCUUGCAGUUUUGACGUUACCGACAGAAUAAGCACCGGCUAACUUCGUGCCAGCCGCCGCGGUAA
rnacentral:rRNA from 1 species